rnacentral:rRNA from 1 species
CCUACGGGGUGCAGCAGUGAGGAAUAUUGGUCAAUGGGCGAGAGCCUGAACCAGCCAAGUCGCGUGAGGGAGUACUGCCCUAUGGGUUGUAAACCUCUUUUGUCGGGGAGCAAAAGCCGGACGUGUCCGGCUGUGAGAGUUCCCGAAGAAAAAGCAUCGGCUAACUCCGUGCCAGCAGCCGCGGUAAUACGGAGGAUGCGGGCGUUAUCCGGAUUUAUUGGGGUUAAAGGGUGCGGAGGCGGAUUUUUAAGUCAGCGGUCAAAUCGUGGGGCUAAACCCCAUCCAGCAGUUGAAACUGGGGAUCUAGAGUGUGGGAGAGGUAUGCGGAAUGCGUGGUGUAGCGGUGAAAUGCAUAGAUAUCACGCAGAACCCCGAUUGCGAAGGCAGCAUACCGGUGCACAACUGACGCUCAGGCACGAAAGCGUGGGUAUCGAACAGGAUUAGAUACCCUGGUAGUC